rnacentral:rRNA from 1 species
AACAACAGUGAUUCCCUUAGUAGCGGCGAGCGAAACGGGAGAAGCCCAGCACCGAAUCCCCUCGUCCUCGGUGGCGAUGGUGACCUGUGGUGUUAGGGGACGGUCAGCUUGCCGUGUGUCUUUGCUUGCCGCAGUCCAAGUCCGAUCGAAAGCGGCGGCCUCUCUGCCCGUAGAGGGUGAAAGGCCCGUUGGACCGGUGCGAGGCGCGCACGAGCGGCCGUUUCCCGUGGAGUCGGGUUGCUUGAGAGUGCAGCCCAAAGUGGGAGGUAAACUCCUCCUAAGGCUAAAUAUGACCACGAGACCGAUAGCGAACAAGUACCGCGAGGGAAAGUUGAAAAGAACUCUGAAGAGAGAGUUCAAGAGUGCGUGAAACCGCCUAGGGGUAAACGGGUGGAUUUGCCGAAGCUCGAACGGGAGGAUCUCAGGGUUCCUUGGCGUUUGGGUGGCCCGGGUGCCGUGGCCUCGCGGAUCUCCCUGCCCUGCCCUCACGGGACUGGGGUGGGGUGCUGCGUGCGCUGUGUCGGUGCCCGUCGAGCCCGUCGCCGGGAUCCGUACGGCUUCCCUAGUAGGACGUCGCGACCGAUUGGGAUGUUGAGUGGCGGUCGUGCGGCCCCGUGUGGUUGCUUCCUUGUCCGUUGACACCGGCGCCCGGGAAACUGGGUGCUGGUGGGCAAGCUGUCUGGGCCGGCGGUCCUUGCGGCCGUAGGUCUGGGCAACGCACCAGGGUGCUACCGACUUGUCUGCCCCCCGAUCGUUGUACAGUGACUUGCCCGCGCAUCCGUGCUGGAGCAAUCCGGCCGGGCGAGCCGAAUCGGUGCCAGCGGCGACAGGGCGGACGGUGUGGUCUUGGACUCGAAAGGGUCCCCUGCUGUCUGUAAAGCCCGUUUCGGCGGGUCCCUGGCUGCCGGUUCUCGGUGCCGGUGAGGUCUUCGUCAGAGUGGUGAGCGGCAGUCUGCGGCGAGUAGGUAUUGCGAAUCCUCCCGACCCGUCUUGAAACACGGACCAAGGAGUCUAACAUGUGCGCGAGUCUCGGGGCAAUUCUGUCGAACCCCCAGGGCGAAGUGAAAGCGAAGGCCUCACGGCCGAGGGAGGAUCCGUCCGCGUGCUCUGCACCGGGCGGCGCACUCCCGGGGCGUCCUCGACUGGGCUGUGCUUCGGUGCAGCCCGGGCGGAUGCACCUAGAGCGUACACGUUGGGACCCGAAAGAUGGUGAUCUAUGCCCGGCCAGGACGAAGCCAGGGGAAACUCUGGUGGAAGUCCGUCGCGAUUCUGACGUGCAAAUCGAUCGUCUGAGCUAGGUAUAGGGGCGAAAGACUAAUCGAACCAUCUAGUAGCUGGUUCCCUCCGAAGUUUCCCUCAGGAUAGCUGGCACUCGCAUCUGAACGAGUCUCAUCCGGUAAAGCGACUGAUUGGAGGUUUCUGGGCCGUAACGGCCUAGACCUACUCUCAAACUUUAAAUGGGUGAGAAGUCGGGCAUCCCUAACCGGUCGAAGCCUGGCUUUUACUUUGACGGAUCUACGAGUAGCCAAGUGGGCCACUUUUGGUAAGCAGAACUGGCGUUGUGGGAUGAACCAAACGCCGGGUUAAGGCGCCCGAGUGGUCGCGCAUCAGACCCCACGAAAGGCGUCGGUGGCUAAAGACAGCAGGACGGUGGCCAUGGAAGUCGGCAUCCGCCAAGGAGUGUGUAACGACUCACCUGCCGAAGCGACCGGCCCUGAAAAUGGAUGGCGCUGCAGCGACCCGCCUAUGCCCGGCCGCCGGGGCAGAGCACCGGGGUUCGGGCCGUCAAGGGUCGAGCCCGGCGCGAUGCCCCGGUGAGUAGGACGGAGCGCGGCGGGGUGCGUGGAAGGGGACUGGACGUGAGUCCGCGCGGAGCCCCCGUCGGUGCAGAUCUUGGUGGUAGUAGCAAAUACUCUGGAGAGAAUCCUGGAGGACUGAAGUGGGGAAAGGUUCCACGUCAACAGCAGUUGGACGUGGGUUAGUCGAUCCUAAGAGAUGGGGAAGCUCCGUUUCAAAGGCCUGAUUUUAUGCAGGCCACCAUCGAAAGGGAAUCCGGUUAAGAUUCCGGAACCUGGAUAUGGAUUCUUCACGGUAACGUAACUGAAUGUGGAGACGUCGGCGCGAGCCCUGGGAGGAGUUAUCUUUUCUUCUUAACAGCUUAUCACCCCGGAAUUGGUUUAUCCGGAGAUGGGGUCUUAUGGCUGGAAGAGGCCAGCACCUUUGCUGGCUCCGGUGCGCUUGUGACGGCCCGUGAAAAUCCACAGGAAGGAAUAGUUUUCAUGCCAGGUCGUACUGAUAACCGCAGCAGGUCUCCAAGGUGAACAGCCUCUAGUCGAUAGAACAAUGUAGGUAAGGGAAGUCGGCAAACUGGAUCCGUAACCUUGGGAAAAGGAUUGGCUCUCAGGUUCGGUGCUCUGAUCGGCCAUGGUGCCGGGCCCGGCCUUCGCGGGCUGGGCCUGGACUGCCAAGGCAGCGGGCGGUGGUGUGUGCUGCCUCUGGC